AAAUGUGAACUUAUCCCUUCAUUCUUAAAACCAUGGGAAAUAAAUUAGGUGUGAUGUGUCCCUCUGUGGCCUAAGUGGAAGAGACUGGAUGGAUCUCUACUUUACCUUUCUUUGAUGUCAAGAAAUAUCACUCUCCAUGAAGUUUGCAUUUCAUCUCAUCCCCUUUAUACACACCUUUUAACAGAAUUUCUAAACCAGAAGAUGGAGGAGAGCUCAUGAUGACUGGCUGCUGCCCUUCAGUGUGCUUUAUGAAUUUAACCCUUGGCCUUUGUGGAAGGGCGGGGCUUUAAAGGGGAAUGAGUCAUGUUUUAGACAGAAAAUGAAAUGAGUCUGCAACAAGUACAGGAUGUGAUAAAUUAUUUAUAAGUACAUUUACAGUAGUACUGUUCUAAAAAAAAACUGUUCUAAAAAAUUAGAAACACAACAAAAAAGUAUUUUUCUUUUUCUACACUUAAACGUUUCUAAAAAAUAGUUUUAGCUAAUAUCACAUUAUAGUGUACACAGAAUUAUUAUAUUGAUAAUCUAGGUUCAACACCUAAGUAGAUUUCAUUUGAUGACAAAUAUUUUUUUUCAGGCUGAGCAGCUGUAACCUGUCAGAGGAAGACUGUGAACAUUUGUUGUCAGUCAUCAGCUCGCAGUCCUGUAGUCUGAGAGAGCUGGACCUGAGUACCAACAGCCUGAAUCAUUCAGCAGUAAAGCUUCUGUCUGUUGCAGUGGAGAGUCCACACACCAAACUGAAUAUUCUGAGACUCAACAUCUGUGAAGUCUCAGAGGAAAACUGUAAAGCUCUGUCCUCAGUUCUCAGCUCUCAGUCCUCUAGUCUAAAAGAGCUGGACCUGAGUAUCAAAAGCCUGCAGGAUUCAGGAGUGAAGAUUCUGUCU